GGGUGCGUAGCUCAGUGGAUAGAGCAUCCGCCUUCUAAGCGGACGGUCGUAGGUUCGAUCCCUACCGCACCCG
rnacentral:tRNA from 1 species